rnacentral:lncRNA from 1 species
AUGUACACGUCUCACUCUCAUUCAUUAUCUGUCUCACUUCAUGUGCGUAUCUCAUUCUCUCACUCAUGCACCGUCUCACUUUCUCUUGUGUACCUGUCUCACUCUCAUGUACGCGUCUCACUCUCUCAUUCAUGCACCUGUCUCACUCUCUCAUGUACCUGUCUCUACUCUCUGUAUGUCUCACUCUCUCAUGUAUGUCUCUCUCUCAUGCACCUGUCUCACUCUCUCAUGUACUUGUCUCACUCUCUCAUGUAUGUCUCACUCUCUCAUGUAUGUCUCACUCUCUCAUGCACCUGUCUCACUCUCUCAUGUACUUGUCUCACUCUCUCAUGUACUUGUCUCACUCUCUCAUGUAGGUCUCUCUCUCAUGCACCUGUCUCUCUCUCUCUCAUGUACGUGUCUCACUCUCUCAUGUACGUGUCUCACUCUCUCAUGUAUGUCUCACUCUCUCUCUCUCUCGUCUCACUCUCUCAUGUAUGUCUCACUCUCUCAUGCACCUGUCUUGUCUCACUCUCUCAUGUACUGUCUCACUACUCUCAUGUAUGUCUCACUCUCUCAUGUAUGUCUCACUCUCUCAUGCACCUCGUCUCUCUCUCAUGUACGUGUCUCACUCUCUCAUGUAUGUCUCACUCUCUCAUGUAUGUCUCUCUCUCUCAUGCACCUGUCUCUCUCUCUCUCAUGUACGUGUCUCACUCUCUCAUUCAUGCACCUGUCUCUCUCUCUCAUGUACGUGUCUCACUCUCUCAUUCAUGCACCUGUCUCUCUCUCUCUCUCUCUCAUGCACCUGUCUCUCUCUCUCUCAUGUACGUGUCUCACUCUCUCAUUCAUGCACCUGUCUCUCUCUCUCAUGUACGUGUCUCACUCUCUCAUUCAUGCACCUGUCUCUCUCUCUCUCGUCGUACCUGUCCUCUCUCAUGCACCUGUCUCACUACUCGUACGUCGUCUCCUACCUCUCUCCUACUUCAUGCACCUCGUCUCUCUCUCUCAUGUACGUGUCUCACUCUCUCAUUCAUGCACCUGUCUCUCUCUCUCUCGUGUACCUGUCAUGCUGUCAGUGCGCAGUCUCAGGUUCUGGUUCUCUGA